CUUCCGGUCACAUUACAUCAAGCAAGAGGAACAUGGAGCGUACGUCUGACGCAUGGCUCAAUCUGUGCAGACUAAACUCGAUUUUCUUUUUUUACCCAUAUUGUUUGAUGGACGCCAGAAGAUUAUACAUUGAAAACUGUAGUGAGUGAACGUCAACUAAAUCCCUAUUAUGUAACUUGGCAAGGAACUCAGUAAAAAGGCCAGUAGCUAAUGGCUAACUAGCUACUUACGACUCGUUCAAGGAAAGUCGGAGGCCAUUACGAGCACCACAAUCAUGUGCGGAGACUGCGCACGUGGUCCGCAGCAUGGCCCUCGAGUCCACGUUGGGACCAUGGAACCCCUUGUGUUCUCUUGAGGGAAACGUAGAGUUAAUGUGGCUUGUCUUGGAGCAGGUGACGUGUAAGUGGCGCCUUUCUACGAAGGAACCCUGCAUCAUUCAGGUUUCCCUCAAAGACAUGAAGAUGCAGUCAUGGGAGUCCAAUGUGGUGCAAAAUGAAUACCAUGGAGCGACUUCAACUAAUACAACUCUGUUUAUUGAACAUUAAGUUAUCCAAUAAAGUCAUAUUUGUAGUGGACUGUUAUGUUUUAAUUUAUAUCGUAACUGUAUGCACUGUCUUUGAACCAGCAGAGCCCUCUCCAUGGCUCUGUAGGCCAAGCUACAGCUGCAAGAACAAAUCAAAGGCUUGUUAUAACUGGGGUUACUUGGCAUUUCAUCCCAAGUUUCUCUUUUAAAUGCAACUCACAUCUACUCACUAAUAUUUGUCAUGUGUGUAUUCUGAGCUUUAAUCUGAAUACUUGGUGAUUUUGAAGUACCAUUCCCUAAUUUUAGAGCUACAAGGAAUAAACCAGUAUUGUUAUAGAAAGAUUAAAUCAACUUUUUUUUUUA